rnacentral:rRNA from 1 species
UUGAACGCUGGCGGCAUGCCUUACACAUGCAAGUCGAGCGGCAGCGCGGGGGCAACCCUGGCGGCGAGCGGCGAACGGGUGAGUAAUACAUCGGAACGUGUCCAGUAGCGGGGGAUAACCUGUCGAAAGAUAGGCUAAUACCGCAUACGACCUACGGGUGAAAGCGGGGGACCGCAAGGCCUCGCACUAUUGGAGCGGCCGAUGUCGGAUUAGCUAGUUGGCGGGGUAACGGCCCACCAAGGCGACGAUCCGUAGCUGGUCUGAGAGGACGACCAGCCACACUGGAACUGAGACACGGUCCAGACUCCUACGGGAGGCAGCAGUGGGGAAUUUUGGACAAUGGGCGCAAGCCUGAUCCAGCCAUGCCGCGUGAGUGAAGAAGGCCUUCGGGUUGUAAAGACUCUUUCGG